rnacentral:rRNA from 1 species
UACGAGAGGACCGGAGUGGACGCAUCACUGGUGUUCGGGUUGUCAUGCCAAUGGCACUGCCCGGUAGCUAAAUGCGGAAGAGAUAAGUGCUGAAAGCAUCUAAGCACGAAACUUGCCCCGAGAUGAGUUCUCCCUGACUCCUUGAGAGUCCUGAAGGAACGUUGAAGACGACGACGUUGAUAGGCCGGGUGUGUAAGCGCAGCGAUGCGUUGAGCUAACCGGUACUAAUGAGCCGUGAGGCUUAACCUU